CUUCAGCCAGUUAACUCUGCCAGAUCCUUUUCCUCAUGGGGCCUGGUAAUGGACUGUGAAGAACAGCCUCAGUGUCAGUGAAUGUAGCCUGUUGCCUAUACAGGUAUCCUUAAGCAACCUUGGAUACAGUU